GUGAAUGCUGGCGGCGUGGAUAAGCCAUGCAAGUCGAACGGUCCGCAAGGACAGUGGCAGACGAGGUAGUAAGGCGCAGGGAGAUCCCCCAGAGUCAGGGAUAGCCAGCCGAAAGGUUGGGUAAUACUUGAUGGUCCCGCAAGGGUAAAGAUUUAUCGCUCUGGGAGUCACCUGCGUAAUAUCAGCUAGUUGGUGAGGUAAUGGCUCACCAAGGCUACGACGUUUAGGGGAGCUGAGAGGCUGACCCCCACCGAUGGGACUGCGAUACGGCCCAUACUCCUACGGGAGGCUGCAGGCGAGAAUAUUCCGCAAUGGACGCAAGUCUGACGGAGCGACGCCGCGUGAUGGAUGAAGUGCUUAGGUACGUAAACAUCUUUUAUCGAGGAAGAACUAAUUGACGGUACUCGAUGAAUAAGGGGCUCCUAACUCUGUGCCAGCAGGAGCGGUAAUACAGAGGCCCCGAGCAUUACCCGGAAUCACUGGGCGUAAAGGGUGUCCAGGCGGCCUUGUUAGUCUCGCGUAAAAUCUGUGGGCUCAACCUACAGCGCGCGCGGGAAACGGCAAGGCUCGAGGGCGCGAGAGAUAGAGGGAACUCAUGGUGGAGGGGUGAAAUCCGUUGAUAUCAUGGGGAACACCAAAGGCGAAGGCACUCUAUUAGCGCGUUCCUGACGCUCACACACGAAAGCCAGGGUAGCGAACGGGAUUAGAUACCCCGGUAGUCCUGGCCCUCAACGUUGUUCGCUCGUUUCGCGGAGUAUCGACCCUCUGCGAGACUAAGGUAACCCGGUAAGCGAACCGCCUGGGUAGUACGAGCGCAAGCUUAAAACUCAAAGGAAUAGACGGGGACUCGCACAAGUGGUGGAUUAUGUGGCUUAAUUCGUCGGCAAACGAAGAACCUUACCAAGGUUAGAAAUGCUACUGCACGCCCUCCGAAAGGAGGGAAGCCUUCGAGGGUGUAGCACAGGUGGUGCACGGUCGUCGUCAGUUCGUGGUUUGAACUGUUCCCUUCAGUGGGGUAACGAACGCAACCCACGUUGCCUGUUGCCUAUAUGGCCAGGCGAGACUGCUCCCUCACGGGAGAGGUAAGGUGUGGAUGACGCCAGAUCAGCGUGCCCCUCUGAUACCUUGGGGCCGCACACAUAAUACAAUGGUCGGUACAACAGGACGCAAUACCGCAAGGUGGAGCAAAUCCUUAUAAAACCGACCCCAGUACGGAUCGAGGUCUGCAACCGACCUCGUGAAGCCGGAAUCACUAGUAAUCCCGGGUCAGCCAAACCGGGGUGAAUACGUUCUCGAGUCUUGUACUCACCGCCCGUCAAGUCAGGGGAGCUGGUAGUGCCCAAACUUUGCCUCGUGCAGAACUACGGCAAGAUCAGUAACAAGGACU
rnacentral:rRNA from 1 species